AGAGUUUGAUCCUGGCUCAGAAUAAACGCUGGCGGCGUGCUUAACACAUGCAAGUCGAACGAGAAAGGUCUUCGGACUGAGUAAAGUGGCGAACGGGUGAGNNACGCGUGAGAAUCUACCCCUUAGUGAAGAAUACCUUCGAGAAAUCGAAGUUAAUGCUGCAUAAGCUCCUUAAUUGGAGGAAAGAUGGCCUCUUUGCUGUCGCUGAGGGAUGAGCUUGCGUACUAUUAGCUAGUUGGUGGGGUAAAGGCCUACCAAGGCAAGGAUGGUUAGCCGGCCUGAGAGGGUGUACGGCCACAUUGGAACUGAGACACGGUCCAGACUCCUACGGGAGGCAGCAGUGAGGAAUAUUGCGCAAUGGGCGAAAGCCUGACGCAGCGACGCCGCGUGGAGGAUGAAGGCCUUCGGGUUGUAAACUUCUGNUGAUAUUGGACGAACAAUUUCCCGUAAAUAAUGGGAAGGAAUGACGGUAGCCAAGGAGGAAGCCCCGGCUAACUACGUGCCAGCAGCCGCGGUAAUACGUAGGGGGCGAGCGUUGUCCGGAUUUACUGGGCGUAAAGGGUGAGUAGGCGGUUGUAUGUGUCAGAUGUAAAAGGCUAUGGCUUAACCAUAGUUGGCAUUUGAAACUGUACAACUUGAGUGCACAUUUGAGGUAAGUGGAAUUCCUAGUGUAGCGGUGAAAUGCGUAGAUAUUAGGAGGAACACCAGUGGCGAAGGCGACUUACUGGACUGUAACUGACGCUGAGUCACGAAAGCGUGGGUAGCAAACAGGAUUAGAUACCCUGGUAGUCCACGCUGUAAACGAUGAGUGCUAGGUGUUGGGAGGGUGGAGCAAUUCAGUGCCGAAGUUAACACAAUAAGCACUCCGCCUGGGGAGUACGGUCGCAAGACUGAAACUCAAAGGAAUUGACGGGGACCCGCACAAGCAGCGGAGCAUGUGGUUUAAUUCGAAGCAACGCGAAGAACCUUACCAAGGUUUGACAUCCCCUUGACAGAUGCAGAGAUGUACCUUCCCCUUCGGUUAUCCGGGAUACAGGUGGUGCAUGGUUGUCGUCAGCUCGUGUCGUGAGAUGUUGGGUUAAGUCCCGCAACGAGCGCAACCCUUGUCUUUAGUUGCCAGCAGGUUAAGCUGGGCACUCUAAGGAGACUGCCGGUGACAAACCGGAGGAAGGUGGGGAUGACGUCAAAUCAUCAUGCCCCUUAUGAGUUGGGCUACACACGUGCUACAAUGGUCGGUACAAAGGGCAGCGAAGCCGCGAGGUGGAGCCAAUCCCAGAAAGCCGUUCUCAGUUCGGAUUGCAGGCUGCAACUCGCCUGCAUGAAGUCGGAAUCGCUAGUAAUCGCAGGUCAGCAUACUGCGGUGAAUACGUUCCCGGGUCUUGUACACACCGCCCGUCACACCACGAGAGUUUGUAACACCCGAAGUCGGUGAGGUAACCUUAGGGAGCCAGCCGCCGAAGGUGGGACAGAUGAUUGGGGUGAAGUCGUAACAAGGUAACC
rnacentral:rRNA from 1 species